UCCACUUUUCACCUGUUUAGUAACACUGUUCCUUUCGUUGACUUUCAUUAUGAGGUCUGCCGCGGUUCAUUCUAGAAGUGCGUGUUUCUAGAGGCGUUUGCAAAAGCAUAAUAAAAAUAUUCUUUCGUUUUCGUGCGAUUUUGAUCGAUUACCUACUAUGUAUUACCUUGUGAAAUUUGUGGAAGAUUGUGUAUAUUAUAUAUGUGACAAACGGCAAGUGAGGAAGGCUAAAAAAAGGGACUUUUAUCAGUGCGAUGGGCCGAUGGAUGGUACUACGACGCAAAAAUUAAGCUACAAAAUGGUAAGACGUCUACUUAAGUUGCAUCGAUUAACAUGAAUUGCACAUUUUUUUUUAGAAACGGAGGAAGUAUUGCUACAGUUAUGUAAGGAUUUACACUUAAACAUGUCUCCGGUACCAAAACAAUCAACACUUGAUAGACAGUUACGAGUAAAUUUACAAAAGUUGACAGAUACUGAUUAUGAAUUCGAAAGGAUACCACCUCCCCACAUCGGGAACAACUACGAUACCGAUGAUGACCUUGAAAUCUUACACCACCCCCCGAAGACCGUGCUACCGAAGAUGAAUUUGAAAUGAUAUCACCUCCUCACAUCGGGAACAACUACCGUACCGAAGAUGGUAAAUGUACACUUCUAAUUUUGUGUUACCUCUUCCAUUAAUGCUGGCAACUUGCUUGUUCAUUUGACUAAAAAGAGC